rnacentral:rRNA from 1 species
GAUGAACGCUGGCGGCGUGCCUAAUACAUGCAAGUCGAGCGAACGGACGAGAAGCUUGCUUCUCUGAUGUUAGCGGCGGACGGGUGAGUAACACGUGGAUAACCUACCUAUAAGACUGGGAUAACUUCGGGAAACCGGAGCUAAUACCGGAUGAUAUUUUGAACCGCAUGGUUCAAAAGUGAAAGACGGUCUUGCUGUCACUUAUAGAUGGAUCCGCGCUGCAUUAGCUAGUUGGUAAGGUAACGGCUUACCAAGGCAACGAUGCAUAGCCGACCUGAGAGGGUGAUCGGCCACACUGGAACUGAGACACGGUCCAGACUCCUACGGGAGGCAGGAGUAGGGAGGCUUCCGCAAUGGGCGAAAGCCUGACGGAGCAACGCCGCGUGAGUGAUGAAGGUCUUCGGAUCGUAAAACUCUGUUAUUAGGGAAGAACAUAUGUGUAAGUAACUGUGCACAUCUUGACGGUACCUAAUCAGAAAGCCACGGCUAACUACGUG